UUCGCCCUUAGAGUUUGAUCCUGGCUCAGGACGAACGCUGGCGGCGCGCCUAACACAUGCAAGUCGAACGAGAGAUGAGGAGCUUGCUCUUCAAAUCGAGUGGCGAACGGGUGAGUAACGCGUGAGGAACCUGCCUCAAAGAGGGGGACAACAGUUGGAAACGACUGCUAAUACCGCAUAAGCCCACGGCUCGGCAUCGAGCAGAGGGAAAAGGAGCAAUCCGCUUUGAGAUGGCCUCGCGUCCGAUUAGCUAGUUGGUGAGGUAACGGCCCACCAAGGCGACGAUCGGUAGCCGGACUGAGAGGUUGAACGGCCACAUUGGGACUGAGACACGGCCCAGACUCCUACGGGAGGCAGCAGUGGGGAAUAUUGCACAAUGGGGGAAACCCUGAUGCAGCGACGCCGCGUGGAGGAAGAAGGUCUUCGGAUUGUAAACUCCUGUUGUUGAGGAAGAUAAUGACGGUACUCAACAAGGAAGUGACGGCUAACUACGUGCCAGCAGCCGCUGUAAAACGUAGGUCACAAGCGUUGUCCGGAAUUACUGGGUGUAAAGGGAGCGCAGGCGGGAGAACAAGUUGGAAGUGAAAUCCAUGGGCUCAACCCAUGAACUGCUUUCAAAACUGUUUUUCUUGAGUAGUGCAGAGGUAGGCGGAAUUCCCGGUGUAGCGGUGGAAUGCGUAGAUAUCGGGAGGAACACCAGUGGCGAAGGCGGCCUACUGGGCACCAACUGACGCUGAGGCUCGAAAGUGUGGGUAGCAAACAGGAUUAGAUACCCUGGUAGUCCACACCGUAAACGAUGAUUACUAGGUGUUGGAGGAUUGACCCCUUCAGUGCCGCAGUUAACACAAUAAGUAAUCCACCUGGGGAGUACGACCGCAAGGUUGAAACUCAAAGGAAUUGACGGGGGCCCGCACAAGCAGUGGAGUAUGUGGUUUAAUUCGACGCAACGCGAAGAACCUUACCAAGUCUUGACAUCCCUUGACGAUGCUGGAAACAGUAUUUCUCUUCGGAGCAAGGAGACAGGUGGUGCAUGGUUGUCGUCAGCUCGUGUCGUGAGAUGUUGGGUUAAGUCCCGCAACGAGCGCAACCCUUAUGGUCAGUUACUACGCAAGAGGACUCUGGCCAGACUGCCGUUGACAAAACGGAGGAAGGUGGGGAUGACGUCAAAUCAUCAUGCCCUUUAUGACUUGGGCUACACACGUACUACAAUGGCGUUAAACAAAGAGAAGCAAGACCGCGAGGUGGAGCAAAACUCAGAAACAACGUCCCAGUUCGGACUGCAGGCUGCAACUCGCCUGCACGAAGUCGGAAUUGCUAGUAAUCGUGGAUCAGCAUGCCACGGUGAAUACGUUCCCGGGCCUUGCACACACCGCCCGUCA
rnacentral:rRNA from 1 species